rnacentral:rRNA from 1 species
AUGAACGCUGGCGGCGUGCUUAACACAUGCAAGUCGAACGGAAAGGCCCAAGCUUGCUUGGGUACUCGAGUGGCGAACGGGUGAGUAACACGUGGGUGAUCUGCCCUGCACUUCGGGAUAAGCCUGGGAAACUGGGUCUAAUACCGGAUAGGACCACGUCUUGGAUGUUGUGGUGGAAAGUUUUUUCGGUGUGGGAUGAGCUCGCGGCCUAUCAGCUUGUUGGUGGGGUAAUGGCCUACCAAGGCGUCGACGGGUAGCCGGCCUGAGAGGGUGUACGGCCACAUUGGGACUGAGAUACGGCCCAGACUCCUACGGGAGGCAGCAGUGGGGAAUAUUGCACAAUGGGCGCAAGCCUGAUGCAGCGACGCCGCGUGGGGGAUGACGGCCUUCGGGUUGUAAACUCCUUUCGCUAGGGACGAAGCGUUUUUGUGACGGUACCUGGAGAAGAAGCACCGGCUAACUACGUG